rnacentral:rRNA from 1 species
UACGGGGGGGGCAAGCGUUGUUCGGAAUUACUGGGCGUAAAGGGCUCGUAGGCGGCCAACUAAGUCGGAUGUGAAAUCCCCAGGCUUAACCUGGGAACUGCAUCCGAUACUGGAUGGCUUGAAUCCGGGAGAGGGAUGCAGAAUUCCAGGUGUAGCGGUGAAAUGCGUAGAUAUCUGGAGGAACACCGGUGGCGAAGGCGGCAUCCUGGACCGGCAUUGACGCUGAGGCGCGAAAGCUAGGGGAGCAAACAGG